rnacentral:rRNA from 1 species
UACGUAGGGUGCAAGCGUUAAUCGGAAUACUGGGCGUAAAGCGUGCGCUAGGCGGUUUUGUAAGUCCUGUCGUGAAAAUCCCCGGGCUCAACCUGGGAAUUGCGAUGGAGACUGCAAGGCUAGAAUCUGGCAGAGGGGGGUAGAAUUCCACGUGUAGCAGUGAAAUGCGUAGAGAUGUGGAGGAACACCGAUGGCGAAGGCAGCCCCCUGGGUCAAGAUUGGACGCUACAUGCACGAAAGCGUGGGGAGCAAACAGG